rfam:Thermophagus xiamenensis strain DSM 19012 genome assembly, contig: Ga0131197_106
CUCAGAAAGCAACAUCCAUUAAAACAAGGAUUAAGAC